ACAGGUCCAGUCUUGUGCAGGCAACCUCAGCUGCUGCCAGAUUAUGUUGCAAUGGCUGAACGGUGCGCAGAAGUCAGCCCUUUGCGGACCUUCUCCCUAUAGUGUGCCUCUUAGAUUCUUUCUGCUUCUUUUUCUGUGUUGUCCUCUGAACCUUACAGAGAACGAUAUAGAUGUCUUCCUUAAGGCACUGCAAGGUCGCCUCGUCUCAUCACCUUGAGCAUCCAUGAAUUCUGCAAUCCCCAGCAUUCACUGCAAAGAGAAGCUUCCCGGAUUCAUAAUUUCAUCUGGCGUUAUUUUCCUUGUGUUUGAAGAUACCAAUGACAAUAAACAUAUAUGCAGGCCCAUAUAUGCAUGCCCAUACCAUACACAAAUAUAGUUUAAAUUUUCCCAUCCGGGCUGACACUGUUCCCCACAAGAAGCAUAGACUAAUAAAACCCCAACGGCAAGCACAGGAAGCCCUCUUUUGAGUUCCUGGUCACCUUUGUCCAAGAGGUUCUCAAAACUUUAAAGGCCAUUGUUACUGCUUUUUAUUGACUCCCUGAAAAGAUCCUCAACUACCGAACUCAAACACAUUGACAUGGGUAAAAUGCCAGAAGAAUGCUUCAAAAACUAACUGGUAAAACUGUCCAAGGACCUGGCAGAAGAUUAUGAGAAGUACACAAGUUCUGUCCAGGACCCAGAAAGGAGAAUCGGCAGCAUGCACAGAAAGGUUAGAGACAUGUGUGAGUCACAGGUCAUCAGCAUGGGAGAAUGCUUUAGACAGGAAGGUGGGAUUCUUCUGAGAAAAGAUAUAGAACUGCCGGGGAUGUUAGAAAACAAAUGACCUGCAAUGAAUCAGAUAAAAAAGAAACAGAGAAAACAGCAGCUGUGGGCUCUCCUGAGACAGGUCAUCAGGGUGGAGAGUGGAGUUGACAGAAUGCACAUUCACACAGCAGUAAGGACAAAAACACACCCAGCCAUACUGUCCAAGGACUCUGGGGGUGAGACCAAGAGACCAAAUUUAAGAACCGAUGAGAGAGAUGGAGCUGAAGGGUUGGGGAUUUAGCUCAGUGGUAGAGUGCUUGCCUAGCAAGCACAAGUCCCUGGGUUCGGUCCUCAGCUCCAAAAAAAAAAAAAAAAAAAGAAGAAGAAGAAGAAGAAGAAGAAAAAGAAAAGAAAAGAGAGAGUUGGAGCUGAGACAAACACUGAAAGCACAGACUGUAGUCAACGAAGUUAAGAAAAUUCCCCCAUUGUAGAGGGGGAAACAGCCAUGUAAACACAGGAGGUGUAAAGACGCCAGAAUAAAAUUAUGGGGAAAAAAAAUCUCCCAUGGCAUUUGUCAAGAAAACAGAGAGGAAGUAAAAAUAUUAAAAUUCAAUAGAGAAAAAUAUGUCAGCUCACUCACAAUGACAGAAAUAUCAGAAUAGCAGUCCUAAAUGCACAAGGAUGCAUACAAGGUCACCAGAGUGAAGACGAGCUUUAACUGAAGGACCAGUAUUGGGGAUUCUGCAAUACUUCACUCUAACUACAGUACAGAGACAUAGUAACAAAAGCAGCAUGGUGCUGGCAGAAACAGUCAGGUAAAACAACAAAGAGAAAACACAGAAAUUACCUCACAGCUGUCUGUAGUCGCCUACUUCUUAACAAUGUUGCCACAAACUUGUUUGAGAGAAGACUGUCUCUUCAAGCUCAGAGUUAACUACACCACAGAUGUGCUAGGGAAACUGGCUUUCACAUGUAGAAGAAUGGGGCUCGAACCACUACUAAACGGAAAUCAACUCAAAACUAAUUAAACACCUUAAUGUAGAACCUGAAAACUUAAAACUCUUAUGGGAGAUGGUUAAGAUAGGCCCAGGCCGGCUUCUUCUGCUGCAGGCUCCAGCUGCACAGGAAAUAGAACCGGAAUCGGCAGUGUUGGCAGAGAAACACCAGAGGAACAGCCUACAGGGAAGGCCUUCACCAUCAGACAGGGGUUCAAUGUUUAGGAUACGUAAAGAACUGUAGAAAUCAUACACCAGAAGAACAAUCAGUCAAUGAGCUAAGAAACUGAGUUAAACCUCUUAAAAACAGAGAUACUUGUGAGUGUUCUUUGAGUGUUCUUCUGAGUCAAUACAAAGUGUCCAACAUCCUCAUCCAUCAGGAAAUGUAAACGAAAACUGCUUUGAGAUACCAUCUCCUCCCAGUCAGAGCAACGGCAAUCAAGAACUGACAAGGGAUUCUAGCAGGCAUGUGGGGAAUGAGGACCUCAUCCCUUAGUGAUAGGAAGGUAAGCUUGGGUAACCUUCAUGAAAUCAAUAUGUAGAUUCUUCCAGAAACUAGAAAUAAGUCUACAGCUUGACCAAUUCACAUGCUUUAGCUGCAUACGUGUUUCUCGACCCGCCACAGAGACCCUUGUCCAUCCAUGUGCAUAGUGGCACUGUUCACAAGAGUCAGCAAAGGGGACCAGCCUAUGUGUCCAUCAACAGAUGAAUGGGUCAAGGAAAAUAAAACUAUUUUGUUCAGAGGUAAAGGGAUAGAACUGUAAGUUAUUGUGGAAAGUGUAAUAACCCAGACCAGGGAAACCUGGAUACUUUGGCUCACAUGCAGAGCAUAGACUUAACUUUUUAUGUAUGCAUAUACGUAUAUGUGAAUGCGUGAGCCAGGAACCCGGAGAGUUCUUAAGGUGUGGAAGAGACGGGAAUGGAACGCAUGAUCAAAAAGCAGAAGAGGGGGAGCUCUCCUAGAGAGAGAUGGAAAAUAGCCAGGUGGGGGAGGGGACCGGAGGGAGAAAAUCAGGGGAGAGAAACAAAUGAGCCCAGAUCAUAAUGACACGGGUACAUGCAAGUGAUGGGACCAAGUCAGUCAUGUGCAUGCUGAUCUGAGAAAUGGGCUUUUAAAAUGAAAAUUCAGAAACAGUGAGAUCUUUUUGUUAAGUCUAGCCUGUUGGUUGAUGUCUUCCCGCCUCCUAAGGCUUUGUGUUUUCCGGCUUCCUCGAAUGCCUGAUGAUCUCUCCUCCACCAUGUGUGUGUGUGUGUGUGUGUGGUGUGUGUGUGUGUGUGGUGUGUGUGUGUGUGUGGUGUGUGUGUGUGGUGUGUGUGUGUGGUGUGUGUGGUGUGUGUGUGUGGUGUGUGUGGUGUGUGUGUGUGGUGUGUGUGUGGUGUGUGUGGUGUGUGUGUGUGGUGUGUGUGUGGUGUGUGUGUGGGUGUGUGUGGUGUGUGUGUGUGUGGUGUGUGUGUGUGUGGUGUGUGUGUGUGGUGUGUGUGUGGGGGGUGUGUGUGGUGUGUGUGUGGUGUGUGUAUGUGUGUGUGGUGUGUGGUGUGUGGUGUGUGUGUGUGGUGUGUGUGUGUGUGUGGUGUGUGUGUGUGUGUGGUGUGUGUGUGGUGUGUGUGUGUGUGGUGUGUGUGUGUGUGGUGUGUGUGUGGUGUGUGUGUGUGGUGUGUGUGGUGUGUGUGUGUGUGGUGUGUGGUGUGUGGUGUGUGUGUGUGGUGUGUGUGUGUGGUGUGUGUGUGUGGUGUGUGUGGUGUGUGUGUGGGUGGUGUGUGUGUGUGUGGUAUGUGGUGUGUGUGUGUGUGUGUGUGUGUGUGUGUGUGGUGUGCAUGGUCCAGUGUGUAAGUGUAGGUGUUCAUGUGGAGGUCAGAGUGAGGGUCUCUGUUGCUUUGCUGUGCACAGGCAGAUAAACGUCCAAGGGUUCUCCUGCUUUUGCUUGUCGUCUUGCUGUAGGAACUCUGGGGUUGCACACGUGCUUGGCUUUACAUGGGUUCUGGGUAUUCAAGUUCCAGCCACCAUGCUUGCUGGCCAGGUGUUUUCCCUACUGAGCUAACUCACCACCCACCCAGUAACACUUAAUGUUACUUUGAUUUUGAGUAGAUGCUGGUCAGUGUGACUUUAACCUUGGUGGAGGCUGGGAAAAAUUUGCCUUCUUUUAUUUUAAGACUUAUUAGGUAGAGUCAUAGACACGCUCGGUCUAAUGGUAACGACACCUCGGUGCCAUGGUAAGAACGUUCUGAAAAAUCUACCCAAGUGCCAUCGUGUUGCUUCCCAGUUUGGGGUACAGGGUCAGGUCCUGUGGGUGGCUAGGAUUUGAAGCAGAAAGGUCAAGCUCUGCCUGCAGGCCGCCCUCUGCGCACCGUGCAGACAUUGCACACAGCCUAGGCACAGCAGUUUUCUGCUUGAGAGGCUGCCCUGUUUCCAUACUUCCUUGGGAGUUCAAAGAGCUCUGUAGCUGUGGCUAAAAGAAGCAAAUGUAACCUCCCAGAAAGACAGCAGUCUUCCUUACUGCAUACGGGUGGCACACGGGCACUGAAACAGUAUCUGAAGAGCCUGGCCAGGAGGGACAUAUAUGCAAGGCGAAGAAUGAACUCAACUAAGUUCUUUUUAUAAAUUUACCGCAUUGCUUCAAUAAUUAGAAAAUAUAAUUUUAAAGAUCCUAAUAUUUGUUGUUUAAAUACAAACAUGUAUACCUAAACAUAUAUAUGUAUAUAUGUAGGUGUGUAUGUAUAUUAAAUUUUUUCUCUCUAGAAAUAUGCCUCCACCA